rnacentral:rRNA from 1 species
UACAGAGGUCUCAAGCGUUGUUCGGAUUCAUUGGGCGUAAAGGGCGCGUAGGCGGCGGGGUAAGUCGGGUGUGAAAUCUCAGAGCUCAACUCUGAAAUGGCACUUGAUACUGCUCUGCUAGAGGACUGGAGAGGAGAUUGGAAUUCACGGUGUAGCAGUGAAAUGCGUAGAUAUCGUGAGGAAGACCGGUGGCGAAGGCGGAUCUCUGGGCCUGACCUGACGCUGAGGAGCGAAAGCGUGGGGAGCGAACAGG